rnacentral:tRNA from 1 species
GCGAGGAUGGCGGAACUGGCAGACGCGCUGGAUUUAGGAUCCAGUCCCGUAUGGGAUGGGGGUUCAAUUCCCCCUCCUCGCA